rnacentral:rRNA from 1 species
AGUGAACGCUGGCGGCAGGCUUAACACAUGCAAGUCGAGCGGGGUGAUGGUGCUUGCACUAUCACUUAGCGGCGGACGGGUGAGUAAUGCUUAGGAAUCUGCCUAUUAGUGGGGGACAACAUCUCGAAAGGGAUGCUAAUACCGCAUACGUCCUACGGGAGAAAGCAGGGGAUCACUUGUGACCUUGCGCUAAUAGAUGAGCCUAAGUCGGAUUAGCUAGUUGGUGGGGUAAAGGCCUACCAAGGCGACGAUCUGUAGCGGGUCUGAGAGGAGGAUCCGACACACUGGGACUGAGACACGGCCCAGACUCCUACGGGAGGCAGCAGUGGGGAAUAUUGGACAAUGGGGGGAACACUGAUCCAGCCAUGCCGCGUGUGUGAAGAAGGCCUUAUGGUUGUAAAGCACUUUAAGCGAGGAGGAGGCUCUUUUGGUUAAUACCCAAGAUGAGUGGACGUUACUCGCAGAAUAAGCACCGGCUAACUCUGUGCCAGCAGCCGCUGUAAGAC